rnacentral:rRNA from 1 species
AUUGAACGCUGGCGGCAGGCCUAACACAUGCAAGUCGAGCGGUAGCAGGCCUUCGGGCGCUGCCGAGCGGCGGGCGGGUGAGGAACACGUAGGAAUUUGCCUAAUAGUGGGGGAUAGCCACGAGAAAUUUGGAGUAAUACCGCAUAGGCCCUGAGGGGGAAAGUGGGGGACCUCAAGGACUACCGGCAUUAGAGAAGCAGGCGUCGGAGUAGCUAGUUGGUUGGGUAAAGGCCUACCAAGGCGACGAUCCGUAGCGUGGUCGUAAAGGAUGAUCCGCCACACUGGGACUGAGACACGGCCCAGGCUCCUACGGGAGGCAGCAGUGGGGAAUAUUGGACAAUGGGCGAAAGCCUGAUCCAGCCAUGCCGCGUGUGUGAAGAAGGCCUUCGGGUUGUAAAGCACUUUAAGUGGGGAGGAAAAGCGGUACGUGAAUAUUGUAUCGCCGUGACGUUACCCACAGAAUAAGCACCGGCAAACUCCGUGCCAGCAGCCGCAGUAACAC